UACGAAGGGGGCUAGCGUUGCUCGGAAUCACUGGGCGUAAAGGGUGCGUAGGCGGGUUUUUAAGUCAGGGGUGAAAUCCUGGAGCUCAACUCCAGAACUGCCUUUGAUACUGAAGAUCUUGAGUCCGGGAGAGGUGAGUGGAACUGCGAGUGUAGAGGUGAAAUUCGUAGAUAUUCGCAAGAACACCUAUGGCGAAGGCAGCUCUCUGGGACGGUACUGACGCUGAGACGCGAAAGCGUGGGGAGCGAACAGG
rnacentral:rRNA from 1 species